UCCUCUGUUUCUCUUUCUUCUUCCCUGUUCUUACUCUCCAGAGGCCUAGCUCCACUCCUUUCCUCUGCCAAGUUCGCUCGAGAUCCCUUGCAGAAAUGACGAGGAACAAGAACUUGCUCCAAUCUCGAUGCAGGCUCCAGCCGAUUCACCGUCGCCGCUCAAGCAAAAGAGAGGACAUGAAAGAGAAAGAACGCGAUGGUGAUGGGCCAUAUUCAGCCAGGAAGAGAUAUCAAAGGGGAAAGAACAGAGUAGAUAUGGUUUCAGGAAAACGAUGACGCUUCUUCUUCUUCUUCAAGAAGAGGUGGAAAGCAGAAUGCUGGAAAGUGCAUGGCAUGUGCAAUCGACUUCGAAGCACAUGAAAUUAAUACGAGGCUCAAAACAAUGGUGGAGGAUGAAGUCGAUACGGAGACUUUUCGUCCUAUGCAUGAAAGCAACCGUAUCAUGGU